rnacentral:rRNA from 1 species
UACGAAGGGGGCUAGCGUUGUUCGGAAUUACUGGGCGUAAAGCGCACGUAGGCGGACAUUUAAGUCAGGGGUGAAAUCCCAGAGCUCAACUCUGGAACUGCCUUUGAUACUGGGUGUCUUGAGUAUGGAAGAGGUGAGUGGAAUUCCGAGUGUAGAGGUGAAAUUCGUAGAUAUCCGAAAGAACACCGGUGGCGAAGGCGGUGGUCUGGGCCUGAACUGACGCUGAGGAGCGAAAGCCAGGGGAGCAAACGGGG